AGAGUUUGAUCCUGGCUCAGAUUGAACGCUGGCGGCAGGCCUAACACAUGCAAAUCGAACGGUAACAGAGAGCAGCUUGCUGCUCUGCUGACGAGUGGCGGACGGGUGAGUAAUGUCUGGGGAUCUGCCCGAUGGAGGGGGAUAACCACUGGAAACGGUGGCUAAUACCGCAUAACGUCGCAAGACCAAAGUGGGGGACCUUAGGGCCUCACACCAUCGGAUGAACCCAGAUGGGAUUAGCUAGUAGGUGGGGUAACGGCUCACCUAGGCGACGAUCCCUAGCUGGUCUGAGAGGAUGACCAGCCACACUGGAACUGAGACACGGUCCAGACUCCUACGGGAGGCAGCAGUGGGGAAUAUUGCACAAUGGGCGCAAGCCUGAUGCAGCCAUGCCGCGUGUAUGAAGAAGGCCUUCGGGUUGUAAAGUACUUUCAGCGGGGAGGAAGGGAUGAAGCUUAAUACGCUUCGUCAUUGACGUUACCCGCAGAAGAAGCACCGGCUAACUCCGUGCCAGCAGCCGCGGUAAUACAGAGGGUGCAAGCGUUAAUCGGAAUUACUGGGCGUAAAGCGCACGCAGGCGGUCUGUCAAGUCGGAUGUGAAAUCCCCGGGCUCAACCCGGGAACUGCAUUCGAAACUGGCAGGCUAGAGUCUCGUAGAGGGGGGUAGAAUUCCAGGUGUAGCGGUGAAAUGCGUAGAGAUCUGGAGGAAUACCGGUGGCGAAGGCGGCCCCCUGGACGAAGACUGACGCUCAGGUGCGAAAGCGUGGGGAGCAAACAGGAUUAGAUACCCUAGUAGUCC
rnacentral:rRNA from 1 species